rnacentral:lncRNA from 1 species
GUUUUUUAUAUUUUUCUAAUUUAUAUUCUUCUAAACCCACAGUUGUCUUUAGCCUGGAAUACAUCGAAGUACUUACCCUCUUUGCUUCAUCAUCCCAAAAAUCCCUUCAACAGAACUUUGUCUGCGACCGCCGACUCCAAAUCUAACAUCUUCUACCUCAUGCACAGUCAAAAUUGAUCAGUUCAUCUCUCACAAACCUAUGACCUUCUUCGCACCCCGUUUCAGUUCCCUUGCUAGAAACCCCUUCUCUUCAUCUUUCUUCGCUAUGGGUCAUAUUUCAGUUCCUUCACUUGAAUGGUUUUAUUUUCUGCUUUUAUCAGCUUCUCAACUUAAAGGUAAGUUAAACUAAUUGAUUCCUUAGUUUAUUCAAAUUUGUCUCAGCUAAAUGAGUGAAUAGAAUACGCGGGUUAAUAUCUACUUUUUGGGGUCUAGCUAUCUGGGUAAAAGAGUAUCUAAUACCUAAUGUUGAAAGAAUUUUGAUGUUGCAAUGGAAGUUGAUUGCUUGUUGGUUUUCAAAUUAAGCUCAUAAUUAGUCAAAUAUGCCUUGCACCUUAACUGUUCGACAAAAUGCCGACCCAGUCAAAUAUGCCUUUCACCUUAGCUGUUUAGACAAAAUGCCGACCUAUUAGUGGCAAGUAAGCCCGUUCUAUUUCUCUUCUUUAUUGCAAGAAUUAGUCACUCUUUAUCUCACUGGACAAUAAGGUCACACCUUAGAAUAAAGAAGGCAAUAGAACACUAAAAUCAAGAGAAGAUCAACAUGAGUUUCAGCCAAAUUGACUGCCACGAUUAUAAUUUCUCUUCCACCAUUCAAAAACCUUCAUAACUUUAGUAAAAAACCCUGUUUAGAGCGUGGUAAGUUCCACUAAAGUAUGGCUUAUAGUUAUUAGUUUAUCUACACAUUUUAUUGUAUAAGCUAGCAAGUUUCUACAGAUUGAAUUUUUUAUAUAUAAUAGUUUUAGGUUUUUUUUAAGUUCAUGAUAUAAAUGUUUAUGAAUUUAGAAUGUAGAGUUGCCAUGAUAGAAACUUGUCCUUGGCUUAAUUCUUUUAACUUCUCAUAUAGUUCUGAUUCGAAAAGUGUAAGGUAAAAAAUGUAAUGUGAUUGAACUCUCUGUUAUGCUAAACUUUGUUUGCCAUGGUUCGUGAAUUCACAAUAAAAUUGUUAGAUGUCUUUGAUUCUUUUUGGUUUAUUUUCGCUCAUUAGAUAAUUGCUUUCCUUUUCUUUCUUCCUUUUUGUCACGACCCAAAAUCCUUACCGUCGUGAUGGCACCUAACCCAAUCCGUUAGGUAAGCCAAUUAACAAAAUAACAUAAUAUAAUAACGAUGAUGUAAAUCAAAGAUGAGAUAACUGAAUUUUAUACAACUUCCCGUAGUACAAAUCAUGAGCUUCUAAGAUUUAGAAUUUACAAAGCUGGUAUGAAUUUAAGUACAUCAUCUGUUUGAACUGUACAAGAACAGAUUAAAACUCUAAAGCUACCAAGAUCAAGAGGUAGCUAUGACCGGAAUACAUGUGCAUCUUCAGAUCCAGCUCUCGCUGUGCACAGCAACAUCAGCAUCCAACAUCUGCACGCAAGAUGCAGAAGUGUAGUAUGAGUACAACCGACCCCAUGUACUCAAUAGGUAACAAACCUAACCUUAGGUUGAAAAUAGUGGUGAGCUGGGACAAGGGUCAGAGUCCAACUCCAAUAACCAACAACAAUCAUAACAAUAAUAAUAAAAUGGUACAUGAAAAUAACUCAGAGGUAAGAUGCUCAGCUCGUUCAUAGUUACGGAAAGAUAGGCAUGCUUUUCAAGUAUAACAAUAAAUCCCAAAUCUUCCACCGAAAGCACCAAUAACAUAUGAAUAAGUUUGAAAAUCGUGAUUUUUUCCAAAAACUUUUCAACAAUAAAUAAGAUGUUUCAUUUUCAGAUAGCAUGAGAAAAAUACAUCUCUAUGCCUACAUGUCAAUAUAAUGUUGAAAUCAUGAAUGUCACCAAAGCCGGGUAGCCGAAGGGAAUGCAUCUAUAUGCAUGUAUCUCAAGUACGCAGGUCAAAUGCAAUGCAUCUCAAUGAUGAACUCAUGUACUCACCCUCUCAGAGUACUCCAUCUCACUGUCUCCUAUUCUCACUCAUCAUGCUCAAUACUCAGCACACUCAGUACUGUACAGGGCAUAUCCAGCCCACAUGCAAAUAAACCAAGGUAGAUCUAGUCCAAAGAUGCAAAUAAACCAGGGCAGAUUCAGCCCAAUGCAAAUGAACCAAAAUGUAAGUAAACCAGGGCAGAUCCAGCCCAAUGCACUGUGGGUGUGCAGACUCCGGAGGGCCCGAUCCAGCCCAAGCUCUAUAUUAAGCCAUAUCCUGGCAUGAAUCAAUAAAGCUUGCUGCGGCGUGCAGCCCAAUCCCAUAAAUAUCACUCACAACAGGCCCUUGGCCUCACUCAGUCAUCAAUCUCUCAAGUCUCUUGGGUUCACAACACUCUUGCUAAGCAGCCCAAAUCAAUGAUAUGAGAUGUGACAAUAUACAAUAAUAGAGACUGAGAUAUGAUAUGUAAUGAUGAAUACGACUGAGUACAUAACUGCAAUUAAGCAAAUAACUUAUCAGCAAAGAACGAUCAUUGUGGGUCCCAAUAGUACCACCAUAUAGCCUAAACAUGAUUUCUAGCAUAAAUUACAGCUCAAGUUCUCUAACACAUAGAGUAUGGUAAAAAUGUUCAGAUAAAAUAACUACACAGUUCCAUGGAAUCGACUAAAUCACAAUUUACACGGUGCACGCUCACACGCCCGUCACCUAGCAUGCGCGUCACCUCAACAUCAAUAACAUAAAACUUAAUUCGGGGUUUCAUACCCUCAACACCAAGUUUAGAAAUGUUACUUACCUCGAACAAACCAAAUCCAAUACCGAGCAAGCCAAGCAAUGUUCCAAAAAUGCCAUCCCGCCCGUACCAACCUCCGAACGACUCGAAACUAGCCAAAAGUAACUGAAAUACAUCAAUUAAUGCCAAAGGAAACAAACCCAAUCGAAAAGAUCGAAUCUUUAAUCAAAAGCCCAAAAUCAACCCAAAAGUUCAACCUGGGCCCGCGCCACGGAACUCGAUGAAACUUAUAAAACCGACAACCCAUUAAUUUACGAGUCCAACCAUACUAGUUUCAUUCAAAUCCGACUCCAAAUCGAUGUUCAAAACAAAAAACCUAUUCUAUGAAACUUUAGGCUAAACUCCAAUUUUCUCUUUACAAUUCAUAAUCCAAAUACCAAAAACGAAGAUAGAAUCACGAAAUAUAAUCAAAAUCGAGUAUAAAACACUUACCCCAAUCCUUGUGAUAAAAAUCGCCUAAAAAAUCGCUUCAAUCCGAGCCCCAAAUCUCAAAAUAUAAUAAAAGAACCCAAAAUCUCGAUUUUUAUAGCUUCUACCCAGAAAUUCCGCAUAUGCGGUCACACUGUCACAUCUACGACCCCUGCUUCUGCGAAAAUAGCUAGACCCAUCUCACCCCACACCUGCGGUAGAAAAAUUCCGCUUCUGCGAAAACUUCGCACCUGCGCUCCAAAUUGUCGCUUUUGCGCACACGUAGGUGCGCCUCUUCCUCCGCAUCUGCGAUGAUCUCCAGCCUAGCCUGUUUGCGCUUCUGCAACCAAUUGUCCGCAUCUGCAGACUCGCAUCUGCGUCCAUUCUUCCGCAGAUGCGGAAGCACCAGAACCAGCAUACCUUCAGCAAUGAAACAUGAAACGAAAAUGGUCCGAACCUCGUCCGAAACUCACUCGGGCCACUCGGGACCCCGUCCAAAUAUACCAACAAGACCCAUAACAAAAUACGGACCUACUCGAGGCCUCAAAUCACACAUAACAAUAUCGAAACGACGAAUCGCACCUCAAAUCAAACUUAAAUGAACUUUGAACUUUCAACUUUCAAAACUCGCGCCGAAACAUAUUAAAUCAACUCGGAAUGAACUCAAAUUUUGCACACAAGUCCCAAAUGACAUAACGAACCUAUUCCAAUUCCCGGAACCACAACCCGAACCCGAUUUCAUCAAAGUCAACUCCCGGUCAAACUUAUGAACUUUCCAAACCUUCAAAUUUUCAACUUUCGACAAUUAGCGUCGAAUCCUUCUAGAUAUAUUCAAAUGCAAAUCCGGGCAUACGCCUAAAUCCAGAAUCACCAUCCGGACCUAACGGAGCCCUCAAAACUUCGUUCCGCGGUCAAGUUUACAAAAAUCAACUUGGUCAACUCUUCCAACUUAAAGCUUCAAUGGUGAAAUCCAUUCUUACAAAUCAAACUCCGGAUUACCUAAAAACCAAAAUCGACGAUACACACCAGUUAUAAUACAUCAUACAGAGCUACUCAUGCUCCCAAACUACCGAGCGAAGUGCAAAUACUCCAAACGACCGGUAGGGUCGUUACACUUUUAUUUUUGUCCGUCAUGAAAAUAAAAAAUAAUGUUACUAUAGCUAUUUUGAAGUAGAAAACUCUAGUCCCGCUCUUUGCAAAUUGCAAUAGGCAUAUGACUUUCUGUUGAUGGGAGCACUGUUGUUGAUGAGAGAACUGUUUGGCGUAUGACAUUCUUACACUUCUUGAUGCGCUUAGCAUCUCUAAGGUAACUCUUACUACUCAUCUUCUUAAAUUUUACUUAAUUUUCUUUUCCUGGUGGCUGGUGCUGAAUUAAUACUCUCUCUUUUUCCAAAAUAUGAUGGGCUACGUGAUAAGAAAUUAACCACGUAUGUAACAAGUACAAUUAUAAAUCACGUAUGGCUUUUAUAAUUAAAAAUAUUACUUACAGAAGUAUUUGAAGAAUCAUUUUUUUACUAUAAAUUUGUGUCUUCUUAUCUCUGUAUCUGCCCAUAAUAUACAUAAUAGUGUAGGUUUUUUGUAAGGACUUUCGAUCGCUAUCAUAUGGCAUAUUUUUUUUUUGAUAAAUACCAAAUGUUGCUGUCGCUACUUGUGAUCUUGCUUUCUUUCUAUUUUCUGGAGGGGGGAGUUGGGACUGAGAGAAGGGACACAAAUAGAUAGUACCUAUAUGAAAAAAAUACAUUGCUCAAGCUUUUCUAAUGUUGAAGUUCAAAUUGAAUCCUAAUCUUGUAUAUGCCUUUGUAGUUCUCAUACAAUCAGAAAUAAAAAUUUGGAGUACGAAAAUCUUAGUGCUGUUGUGCUUGCUUAUUAUCCAUCUGUAUACGGGUAAAACGGAGCAGGGACGAGACCGUAAGGAAUCGUAGUCACAGCGAGGAACUCCUCGUAUCGGGGCUUGAGCAAAAUACCUGCCCUCGGGGCAUCAGGACCACGUCCUCCGGGUCCGGUUCGAGCCCCAAGACUUCGGAGAGCAUUACCAAACAACCGCACACGACUAACAAAGGGCCAUGUUGUCCGUGCCCAAUCGGAUAUCACGACGUGCUUGGCCCGUAUCGGCAGAAAACCAGUGAUUAGCGAAAUAGAAGAAUUUUACCCUUCUUAGGAUUGUACUUAGGGUAAAACUCCCCCACUAUAUAAAAGGGGAAGCUUAUUAUUCAUUAGUUACAUUGUAACACGCAUAUCAAUGCAAUAUAAUUAUGCUCUUUCUGUUUCUAAAAGUUAUUCGAAGUUCUUAUUUUUGUUCAUAAAGUUCUUCAUAAGUGCAAGUUCGGAACCGAAAGAAGGUUCCCAGUUAAGCCAUUAACCGAUCCCGGACUCACUCUUACUAUUGGUUUAGCUAUUUAUUACGUCUUUUAUUUGUUUAAUCUAACAUCAUAGAAUCACUUGUAUUGAAUUAAACCACAUAUCCUUAAAACCGCGUAUAAAUUCAAUUGUUAUCUGUUUUUUAGGGUAAACAGUUUGACGCCCAUCGUGGGGCUAAGGAUAAUAGUGGUAAUUUGAUAAAAAUUUCCAUAACGCACUUUGUUUUAUGCUUGUUCUUGGAGAUAUUAAUUUCAGGUCAAAUUAAAAAUGUCAAACUCUCAAUCUGCUCACUUGAACGUUGAUGCUGAGUCUGGCCACCAUGGUGAGAACAACAAUGUAGUGCCCAGCAACGAGGUGCCCCUUGUUGACCCCAACGGAGUUCCGGUCGCAGACCCAAUCGAUGCCAACUCACAUGUUGCCAUCGGCACAAACUUGCCUACCGACCCUAGAACAACGUUCGCGGAGGAGCCUGGUCAGUAGCCCUGGGUACACACGACGGCGAAGGCGAUGGGAUCAAUUUACGGGUGAUCUUCAAAAUGUUACAAGCUAAACAGGCGGCGAUAGCCUAGUUGCAGAACCAAAGCUGCGCCCCAGUAGAGUUGAGCCCGAAUCAUCCUGGGAAAACACCCGAAGAAAUCAACCAACCACAGAAAGGCCGGGUAAAGUUGAACCCGGGACCAACCCCGAAAUAAUAAAGAUGCUUGAGGAACUGACAAAGCUGGUGGAAUCAGGGGAAAAGAAGAUCGAAGCCAAUGACAAAAAGGUGGAGACCUAUAACUCCAGGGUUGAUCAAAUCCCAAGAGCACCCCCAAUAUUGAAAGGCUUGGAUUCCAAGAAAUUUGUCCAAAAGCCUUUCCCUCCGAGCGCAAUACCGAAACCAAUCCCGAAGAAGUUUCGUAUGCCCGAAAUUCCAAAGUAUAACGGAACCACGGAUCCAAAUGAACACGUGACCUCCUACACGUGUGGCAUCAAGGGAAAUGACUUAGAAGAUAACGAAAUUGAGUCGGGUUUGCUGAAAAGGUUCAAACAAACCCUGUCGAAAGGAGUAAUGACAUGGUAUCACAACUUAUCCCCUAAUUCCAUUGAUUCAUUUUCUAUGCUUGCAGAUGCCUUCGUAAAAGCUCAUGUCGGGGCCAUCAAUGUCGAGACCAGAAAAUCAGACAUUUUCAAAGUAAAACAAAGAGAUAACGAAAUGCUCAGGGAAUUCGUGUCGAGGUUUCAAAUGGAACGAAUGGGCCUGACUCCGGUUGCGGACGAUUGGGUCGUUCACGCAUUCACUCAAGGACUCAAUCCCUAAAGCUCCUUGGCUUCACAACAGUUGAAACAAAAUUUGAUAGAUUACCCAGCGGUAACUUGGGCUGACGUCCAUAACAGGUACCAAUCAAAAAUCAGAGUCGAGGAUGCUCAGCUCAGGCCCCCCUCUAGGUCUGUGUAUCCCAUCAGAACUAAUGACAGGUCUAAAAGAGUCGUCGAUCAUGAACUGAGAUCAAACAUAGAUCGUUAUUAACCGUAUAGUAGAGAUCGAAGGGGUAGCAGAUCCGGAUGUAACCCUGCGAGGAAUGGAAAGAGAAGUGAUCGAGGUCAGAAUAGCAGGGUACUCAUGAGUAAGAACGGUUUCGACAGGCCACGCGGGGCCAGGGAAGCAUCGAGAUUAUCAGAAUACAACUUUAGCGUCGAUGCUGCCAGCAUCGUAUCUGCCAUCGGAGGCAUCAAAGACACCAAGUGGCAUCGGCCAUUGCAGUCUGAUCCUGCCCAAAGAGACCCCAACCUGAAUUGUAAGUAUCAUGGCACUCACGGCCACAGGACUGAAGAAUGCCGACAACUAUAUUCAAUAACGGGCACCUAUGGGAAUUUCUGAGAGAUCGAGCCAAAAAUCACUUCAGGAAUAGGGACUCCAACAAAUAGACCGAGCAAGAGGAACCUCAUCACAUCAUCAACAUGAUCAUUGGUGGAGUCGACAUCCCUCAGAGGCUAAUGCUGAAGCGCACUAAGGUGUCCAUUAUAAGGGAAAAACGAACCCGAGAUUACAUGCCGAAUGGGACCAUCUUUUUCAACGAUGAGGGCGCUGAAGGCAUCGUGCAACCACAUAGUGAUGCACUGGUAAUAUUCGUACUCAUAAAUAAAUCUCGAGUUAAGCGUGUGUUAAUUGAUCCAGGUAUCUCGGCGAAUAUCAUCAGAUCGAGGCUCGUAGAGUAGCUGGGUUACAAGACCAAAUAGUGCCUGCAGUACGGGUUUUAAACAGAUUUAAUAUGGCAUGUGAAACUACUAAAGGGGAGAUAACCCUGCCAGUGAACACCACCAGAACCAUUCAGGAAACGAAGUUCUACGUGAUCGAAGGGGAUAUGAGAUAUAGUACUCUAUUCGGAAGGCCAUGGAUUCACAACGUGAGGGCAAUACCAUCGACACUACACCAUGCAUUGAAGUUCCCCACACCGGGAGGGAUCAAGACAGUUUACGGAGAGAAGCCGUCCACAAAAGAAAUGUACGCAGUCGAUGAGGUGAUCCCGAUGUCCGCACUCUCGACAUCAAAGAACCCAGAGUCAGUUAGGAAGGAAGAAACUAAAUAGCAAUCACCAACACUGCCCCGACCGAACCGAAGAAGCAAGAGUCAGCAGGGGAUGAUGAUUACGGAGUUCCUAGUUCGUUCAUUGCCCCUGGCGAUUCUAAUGCCACCAAAUCGACGAUCGAGGAGCUGGAGCAAGUCAUAUUAAUCGAACACUUGCCCGAUCGGAAGAUAUACCUGGGCAUAGGGUUAACUCCCGAGCUCAGGAAAAAACUCAUUAAAUUCCAAAUAGAUAACGUGGACUGUUUUGCUUGGUCCCAUAUUGGUAGGACAGGGAUCCCGCCAGAAGUAACUACUCAUAAGCUAAGCUUGGAUUCGAAGUUUCACCCGGUUAAACAGAAAAUGAGGCCUCAGUCCAAAGUCAAGCAUGCAUUCAUCAAAGACGAGGUAUCCAAACUCCUUAGAAUAGGUUCCAUUCGGGAAGUUAAGUACCCGGAUUGGUUGGCUAACGUAGUAGUAGUGCCUAAAAAGAGAAAUAAAUUAAGAAUGUGCGUAGAUUACAAAGACUUGAACAAGGCGUGCCCCAAGGAUUCUUUUCCUUUUCCUAACAUCGAUCGCAUGAUCGAUGCAACGACCGGGCACGAGAUACUCAGCUUUCUCGAUGCCUAUUCCGGGUACAACCAAAUCCGGAUGGACCCGGGCGAUCAAGAAAAAACUUUCUUCAUCACUAAAUUCGGCACCUAUUGUUAAAUGUAAUGCCGUUCGGACUAAAAAAUGCCGGUGCCACUUAUCAACUCCUAGUAAACCGGAUAUUCAAAGAACAAAUAGGAAAAUCAAUGGAGGUUUACAUUGACGACAUGUUAGUUAAGUCCCUGCGAGCAGAGGACCAUUUGAAGAAUUAGCAGGAAACCUUCAACAUACUGAAGAAAUACAAUAUGAAGCUGAACCCGGAGAAAUGCGCAUUUGGGGUCGGGUCCAGGAAGUUCCUUGGAUUCAUGGUGUACAACCGAGGGAUCGAGAUCAAUCCUGACAAAAUCAAAGCUAUAGAAGAUAUCACCGCGGUGGACAAUGUCAAGGCCAUUCAGAGGCUAACCGGGCGCAUAGCCGCCCUGGGCCGGUUCAUAUUAAGGUCCUCCGAUAAGAACCAUCGGGUCUUCUCAUUAUUGAAGAAGAAUAGUAACUUUUCAUGGACCCCGGAGUGACAACAAGCUUUGGAAGAACUCAAACGGUACCUUUUGGGUCCACCCUUGCUCCAUAAUCCGAAGGCAGACGAGCAGUUGUACCUGUACUUAGCGGUAUCCGAGAUAGCGGUAAGUGGAGUCUUAGUACGGGAAGAGGAAGGUAAGCAAUUUCCUAUGUAUUAUGUUAGUAGGACUCUAGGCGAGGCUGAAACAAGGUACCCUCACCUAGAGAAAUUGGUGCUCUCUUUGCUAAGCGCCUCCAGAAAGUUAAAGCCAUAUUUUCAAUGCCUUCCCAUGUGUCGUAACUUCUUACCCACUAAGGAACAUAAUGCAUAAACCCGAACUCUCGGGCUGAUUGGCCAAAUGGGCAGUAGAAAUUAGCGGGUACGAUAUCGAAUAUCGACCCCGGACUGCCAUCAAAUCUCAAAUUUUGGCAGACUUCGUGGCCGACUUCAUGCCGGCCUUAAUACCCGAAGUCGAAAAAGAAUUGUUGUUAAACUCGGGGACUUCCCCGGGAAUCUGGACCCUCUUUACGGACGGUGCGUCGAACGCAAAGGGGUCCGGACUUAGCAUCGUGUUGAAGCCGCCUACGGGUAACGUAAUUAGGCAAUCUAUUAGAACUGUAAAAUUGACUAACAAUGAGGCCGAGUAUUGGCCAUGAUUGCAGGUCUCGAAUUGGCUAAAAGCCUAGGGACCGAAGUGGUCGAAGCUAAGUGCGACACCCUUCUUGUGGUAAAUCAAGUCAAUGGGACAUUCGAAGUAAAAUAGGAACGAAUGCGAAGGUACUUGGACAAAUUACAGGUAACACUGCAUCUAUUCAAGGAAUUGACCCUACAACACGUACUCCGGGAUCAAGAUAGCGAAGCCGAUGCUCUGGCUAACUUGGGGUCAUCGGCUAAUGAUGAUGAAUUCGGCUCAGGAACGGUCGUACAACUCAUGAAAUCGGUAGUGGAAGAAGGCCAUGCCGGAAUAAACUCAACAUGUUUAAGGGCUGGAGAAACAAGUAUAUAGACUACCUGAAGACUAGGAAGUUGCCCUCGGAUCCUAAAGAAUCGAGAGCUCUACGUACGUAGGCGGCUAGGUUUAGCCUAUGUGAAGGUACCCUGUUCAGAAGAACGUUCAAUGGCCCACUCGUCGUAUGCUUGGGGCCGGGAGAUACCGAAUAUGUUUUGAGGGAAGUUCACGAAGGCACCUGCGAAAACUAUUCGGGGGCAAAAUCUUUGGUUCGUAAGAUAAUCAGAGCCAGCUAUUACUGGAUCGAUAUGGAGAAAGAUGCGAAGGACUUUGUACGGAGAUGCGACGGCUGCCUGAGGAAUGCACCAAUGAUCCAUCAACCCGAAGAGCUGCUACAUUCGGUCUUGUCACCUUUGCCGUUCAUGAAAGGGGAAUGGACAUUGUUGGUGUCCUACCGUGGGCACCCGGUAGGGCUCAGUUCAUACUAUUUAUGACUGACUAUUCUUCUAAGUGGGUCGAAACUCAAGCAUUCGAGAAGGUCCGGGAAAAAGAAGUCGUCGACUUCAUUUGGGACCACAUAAUAUGCCAGUUCGGAAUACUGGCCGAGAUAAUGUGAGAUAACGGGAAGCAGUUCAUCGGCAGCAAGAUAAGCAAAUUUUUCGAGGACUAUAAGAUCAAAAAGAUCUUGUCAACAUCCUAUCACCCUAGUGGGAAUGGACAGACAGAGUCUACAAACAAGACUAUACUUCAAAACCUGAAGAAAAAGUUGGCCGAUGCCAAAGGGAAAUGGAAGGAAAUUCUGCCCGAAGUCUUGUGGCAUACAGUACAACCUCAAAAUCCAGUACCGAGGCCACUCCGUUUUCGUUGUUCUACAGUGCCGAAGCACUAAUACCGAUCGAAGUGGGAGAACCGAGCCUCAGGUUCCGAUAUCUAAUCGAACAAUCAAACGGUGAAGCCAUGAGCACUAGCCUGGAACUAUUGGAUGAGAGGCACGAGGCCACCCUAGUCUGAUUGGUCGCCCAGAAACAGCGAAUAGAAAGAUAUUACAACCGAAUAGCCAACCUCCGAAACUUCAAUAUCGGGGACUUGGUGUUAAGAAAAGUAACACUGCACACCCGGAACCCGAACGAAGGGAAGCUGGGACCGAAUUGGGAAGGACCAUAUCGAGUCAUCGGGAUUACCAGUAAAGGUUCAUACAAACUCUAAGCAGGAAAUGGUACACAACUACCGAACAACUGGAACGUGACGCACUUAAAACAGUACUACUGGUAAGAUGCGAUCUCAUUGACCUUUUUUAAUAUUAUGAAACAGACUAACACUUGCAGGCAACAACCAAAGGAGAAUGUGGCUGUUAGGUCUGAAAGCACGCGUUGCACUCUUUUUCCCUUGAAUCGGUUUUGUCCGAAAUGGAUUUUCCGGCAAGGUUUAUAACGAGGCAACAGUAAAUCGUGCUAACUUAGAAUUGAAAACCAGUUUUAAAUCGGAGUCAAUGGUCGCAUCAACAUUAUCUGAGCCCUCUCGAGACUGAUCUCGAAUACUAGGGGCCAUCACCCUCGGGGCAAGCUUUUUAUUAAAGAAGGAAAAAUACUUUGUGCUUGAACAGUCUAGGCUCGGUGGUUAGGAUUUAUUUUAAGGGCCAAACGAUCCCGCGUAGGCCACCUUAUCCAUAAUACAAAAUUCUAAACUUGUUAAAAGGUUACCCUCGACAAAGGCAUUGUCUAAGAACACUUAAGCAUCUUGGGAAAACUUCUAGUCGCACCGAGUUUUCAAAGGUUUCGAGCAAAAUUGCAUCAAGGUCAGGUUUUGUUCGGACCUUCGAAAAAUAAAUGACUUAUUACUACGUUUGAUUCUGUGCAAAGACAUUAGAAAUAUUUGUAAUCAUAAAAAGAUGCUAAGAUAGUAGAGACUUGAAAUUGUCAAAAAAGGAAUUUUUUUAUAUAUUCUGGAAUAUCUUUACAAAGGUCCAACAAAAACGGCCUCAACAAAAAAUAUGUACAGGAUACAAAAACUAAAAAAACCUAAGGCAUUUACGGCUGAUCUUUACUGGAACCCGACUCAUCACCAAAACCGUCGGGUCUUCGGAUUCUUCAGAGCCCUCGGAGCCCUCUUCACCUUGGGGUUCAGCUAGUUUCUUCGCUUCGACCUCAAGUCUUUUUUCCUCCUCGAUCUCGGUAGAUAGGUCGAAGCCUCGAGCAUGGAUUUCUUCGAUGGUCUCCUUUCGGGAUAGCCGCCUCACGUACUUAGCAGUGGCCUUCAGGCGGGCCUCGGCUGCUUCGACAUCGUCCGUAUACUAGGCCACCAUCUCGUCAACAUCGGCCGAGGUUAUCUCCAACUGGACCUCGUUAUUUCAAGCUCCUUACCAAGGGCAUCCCGUUCAGCGAUGGCCAAGCCCAGUUGUGUUCGGAGAUCCUCAUUUUGCUGAGCCCGUGUAUCAGCCUUCUCCUUCGCCACCCGAAGCUGAACUUCCACCGAAGACAGCUUGGACUGGGCGGUCUCCUUCUCCGAGGCCAGCAGGUCCAUCUUGCUUUUCCACCCGUCGGCCAUUACUUGGAUCUCGUCCAUCUCCUUUCGGAGUUGGUCGAUCUGGUCGAUCUUCUGCUGGACUUGCGAGGUAUUGUUUUUAGCCACUGUGAUCGGACCCUCGUUUCAAACUUCAAAAAUCAUUACCUUUUCCACCAAGUCUGCGUGCUCCUACCUUAAGGCCGAUGCUUCUUUCUGAGCUGCAUCCAGCUCGGCCUGGAGGUUCUUAGAGACCCCCUCUUGCUCCUCACUAAGAAGCUUGUACAUAUCCCUUUUUUGGGCAAGCUCCUUGAUCUCGGGCUCAACUUGAUUGACCUCAACCCGGUACCAAAGGAAACUCUCGUGGUAAAGUACCGAGGCCUGCAAAAAGGCAAAAUCCAUGAGAAACAUGAAAUGCGGAUAACAGAUCGAUUGAAAGUAGUGAUGCCUUACUCGGUUCAGCGCUUGCUGAGCCUCGUUGAAAAGGCAUGGCACGUUCACCUCAUUCAUUUUUUCUUGGUCCUCCUCAGUCACCAGGCAUCAGAGAUAGCUAGCUAUCCCCACAGGAGAGCAUACAAAACCCGAGCAUCCUUCGGGACGGUUAGUAUAACUGAUAUCUUGUGAUCGGGGUCCACACUCUAAGAGGGGAACUGGUUAAUCAAUUUUGGGCUCGAACUCGAGCUCGGCCCGUCAGCCCCCGAGGAUGUGUCCUUCGGAACAUCCAGGUCGCCCAACCCGGAGAAGUCUUUCAAAGCAGACGAGUCCACACCAAAGAAAAAUGAGUGAAGGGGAUCGUCUGUACCAUGGACCCCAUCAUUGGACGUUUCCUUUCUCGCUUGGGCCUCUUCGAGCAUGGACUCAGUGUAGGAGGGCGUCCCCGAGAUCUCAAUUAUACCGGGCGCUUCGUUUGGAGUAGAGCCGGCAUCCUGGGGAGUCUCACCUUGGGUAUCCACAUCAGUCUUUUCGUUGGAGAGGGAUCGAUCUCACGAGUCUCCUCCUCGGAUACCUCCGAUUCCCGGGGAUAAGUCGUCCUAUGGGUGACAAAAAUAGGUUAAUCCUCCGGCUCGUCCCUAAGCCGGAGAAGAGACUCGAAAUCCGACGCCCGGGAACCGGAGCCCCCCGGGCUUGCGGGCUACCUUUUUCUUUUGUUUCUUCACCUCGGAACCCGGGGAGCCCGAGGAUUUUCUCCUUUUCUUCUUCCCCCCCGUGGCAGAAUUGGAGGGAUCAACGGACGGGGGCACAUCGCCGUCCCCUUCCAAAGGCCUAAGUUCGGUGGUCUUAGGCAAACCUGCAAUAACAAAAGGAAAGAGGAGUUAGUGUAAUAAAAGUUAAAAACGUGGUAUUGGCUAUUCAGAAAUAGGCCUUACCAUGAGAAUAGGCCUCCCACUGGCCUUUGGAGAAUCUGCGCCAUGUGCGCUCAAAGUACGACAUAUGAGUACAGAUGCCAUCGAUCCAUUCCUUUAGUUGGGGAACCGCAUUCGGACCCCGGGCGACAGAUGCACAACCACAAACAUGAAUGAGAAGACAGGCAUUGGAGAAAAAUAAUUUUGAGGUUUAAAGAGAGAUUGCACUUAUGAGACGCAUUCCACUUCUUAGGGAUUGGCAUGUAUUCGGGGGGGGGGGGAUCAAAUCCUCAGUUUUCACUUGGAUAAAGAGUCCCUGCCAGCCCCGGUCUAGGUCUUCGUCGAUACUCGAAAAAGGGGCCUUGCUGGACCGGCGAGUAAGCUUGAUCAGUCCCCCUCGGAACAUUCGGUGGUUGUAUAGCCGAAGCAGGUGGUCGAUCGUGAACCGACGAGACUCGGUCUUGUUUACGAAGUAGUAGAAGAGGAUCGGGUCCACCGGGCCCGGUGUGAAGGGGUAAGUGUAAACACUUAAGUACCCCUCCACGUGGGUAGUAACGACGUCCUCAGGCCCGGAGACUACUACAUCCUUGCCCUACCAAUUACAAUCCUUACGAACUAUGGGAAGAACGUCUUUAGUCACGGAGCAUAUGUACCUCUAGACUCCUUCACCCCGGUCCUGUUUGCGCGAGGGCUUCUCAACUUUAAAUUCGUCUACAAUUGAGCAGCACCCGGGAAUGAACGCUUUCAAGGGAGGCUCGGGGGCCGGUUCGUUAGCAACCACAUCUGGGGAAGCCAUUUUGAGGGCGGCCACUUUAGGGGCAACCUCUUCAGUACCAGUGGCCGGUUGAGAAGAUGAAGAGGCAACUUGUUGAGGAACGAUUUUCGAUGUUUUGGCCAUUGUCAUCUGGGGGAAGGUUUGAAAAUUUGAGGAAAGAAUGCAAAGUUUUGGAAAAACGGGUUUUGAAUAUUUAAAUAAAGUCUAGGUAAAAAUCUGGAAGUCACAAUGAAGAUUGAAGAAUAAGGAUGAAGAUAUGAAGGUUUGAAGAAGGUUUGAUGAUGGUUGGAAAGCUCGAAGGUAACAAUUUAGUCGAAAAGUAGAAAACGAACAAGGGGAGGAAGCUUUUAUACGGAAACAACCGACGCUACGCAUUCGGGGGCAACCAGCCGAUGAGCGACACGUGUUCGAAGUCACAACGACGCGACUAAUGGGACGUUUCGGCUCCCUCGUCGUAACGUACAAAGGAAGGAACCUGAAUCAUCUGUCGUUUCCCAUCGUUUCGGCAAGCUUACUCUCUGAGAAACGAGGGGACUAUCUGUAUACGGGUAAAAUGGAGCAGGGACGUGACCGUAAGGAAUGAGAGUCAGAGCGAGGAGCCCCUCGUAUCGGGGCUAGAGCAAAAUACUUGCCCUCAGGGGCAUAAGGACCACGUCCUCCGGGUCCGGUUCGAGCCCCAUGAUUUUGGAGAACAUUAUCAAACAACCGCACACGACUAACAAAGGGCCAUGAUGUCCGUGCCCAACCGAAUAUCGCGGCGUGAAUCUCGGCCCGUAUCGGCAGAAAAUGAGUGAUUAGCGAAACAGAAGAUUUUUACCUUUCUUAGGAUUGUACUUAGGAUAAAACACCCCCACUAUAUAAAGGGGAAGCUUAUUAUUAAUUAGACACAUUGUAACACACAUAUCAAGGCAAUAUACUUCUGCUCUUUCUGUUUCUAAAAGUUAUUCAAAGUUCUUGUUUUUGUUCAUAAAGUUCUUCACAAGUGCAAGCUCAGAACCAAAGGCAGGUUCCCCGUUAAGUCAUUAACCGAGCCCGAACUUACUCUUACCAUUGGUUUGGCCAUUUAUUACAUCUUUUAUUUGCUUAAUCUAACGUCAUAGAAUCACUUGUAUUGAAUUAAGCCACAUAUCCUUAAAAUCGCGUAUAAAUUUAAUUGUUAUCUGUUUUUGAGGUAAAUAACAUCAUAUCUCGCAAGCUAAUGUGAAAUUUAUAUAUAUAUUCUGUUAUGACAAUUUUGCUGAUUCAUAUAUUACCAUCUUUUUUUUUUGUAGAUAAAGCAAAUGAACAAGGGAACGACGAAACCAAUAAAGACCAUACUUAAUAUCGGUUGACCGUUGCUAGACAUUCACAUGUCCUAGGAAUUUUUUAUCUUUGAAUUUUUUUGCAAACUUAUGUAUGCUUGUUCUUUGAAUUGUCAAGUACUAUUGUAUAUUUUGAAUUAUGAUUAAUAGAAAUUUUAGUGCAAU